rnacentral:rRNA from 1 species
UGGGGAGUACGACCGCAAGGUUGAAACUCAAAGGAAUUGACGGGGGCCCGCACAAGCGGUGGAGCAUGUGGUUUAAUUUGAAGCAACGCGAAGAACCUUACCAGGUCUUGACAUCCUUUGACCACUCUAGAGAUAGAGCUUUCCCUUUGGGGACAAAGUGACAGGUGGUGCAUGGUUGUCGUCAGCUCGUGUCGUGAGAUGUUGGGUUAAGUCCCGCAACGAGCGCAACCCUUAUUGUUAGUUGCCAUCAUUUAGUUGGGCACUCUAGCGAGACUGCCGGUGACAAACCGGAGGAAGGUGGGGAUGACGUCAAAUCAUCAUGCCCCUUAUGACCUGGGCUACACACGUGCUACAAUGGGAAGUACAACGAGUCGCUAGACCGCGAGGUCAUGCAAAUCUCUUAAAGCUUCUCUCAGUUCGGAUUGCAGGCUGCAACUCGCCUGCAUGAAGCCGGAAUCGCUAGUAAUCGCGGAUCAGCACGCCGCGGUGAAUACGUUCCCGGGCCUUGUACACACCGCCCGUCACACCACGAGAGUUUGUAACACCCGAAGUCGGUGAGGUAACCU